UGUUCAUCGAUUUAGUAACAGUGCCGGCUCGAGCCAAGCCGGAACUGUGAAAUGACGGUUUUGCGCUUCCUAUCAGCCCUAGGUUUUGCCUUCUUCAGCCUGCGUCCGAUCUUCUUUCGUUUCUCUCGCGCUCCUCUCUCUGAAAUCUGAACUCUCUCAAAUAUCGAUCAAAUCUCUUGAUCGAGAUUGAUCCAGACGCACCGCUUUCAUCUUUCAGUUGCGACUGAGCUGGCAACCUUUUGAUCAAAUCAGAGGAUCCGAUUGAGCAAUCAGAUAUUUUUGAGACUUUGAGCUUCAGCGUUAGCAUCUACAACUGGAGCCCAAGAUGGUAUCUUUGAUAUAACAAAUUUAAAAUAUGGUGGAAAUCCCUACACUUAGUUCAGCGAGGCUUCCAAUAAAGCUUUUGCUGAUGCAUGUGCGGCAACGGCCGUUAGCCAAGUUGUUGUUCAGCCAGGAAGUUCCAAUUAAAAGAAGCAAAGUUCAAAGCUCCGUCUAGCUGAGCUUCUAUAUAUAUAUAAAAGAAAGAGCGGGGAGGAUUUACAACAGUUUAUCAGGUAAAGCACAAGUAUUUCAUGAUUUAGAAUUUUGGAGAUGAUAUGUUGUACGUGGUCAGAAAGAAAAAUUGAAUUAACUACGUGUUUUCCUUAUGAGUUCAUCAAAAUUUUAACUAUCAAAAGACUGUACAGUAGGAAUCCACGUCCAGUUUGAUCAUCAAAUUUGGGGUACUAACCAACAUGAUUGAGCCACCAAUAAAACCUGAUUGCUAAAACUGCAGAUGCAAGACCAAUUGCAUUAGUACAUCAAAUAGAUGAUCUUGAACAUAUGCUCGAACAAUGUC